AACGAACGCUGGCGGCAGGCCUAACACAUGCAAGUCGAGCGAAGCCUUCGGGCUUAGCGGCGGACGGGUGAGUAACGCGUGGGAACGUGCCCUUUGGUACGGAAUAGCCCCGGGAAACUGGGAGUAAUACCGUAUGUGCCCUUCGGGGGAAAGAUUUAUCGCCAAAGGAUCGGCCCGCGUUGGAUUAGGUAGUUGGUGGGGUAAUGGCCUACCAAGCCGACGAUCCAUAGCUGGUUUGAGAGGAUGAUCAGCCACACUGGGACUGAGACACGGCCCAGACUCCUACGGGAGGCAGCAGUGGGGAAUCUUAGACAAUGGGGGAAACCCUGAUCUAGCCAUGCCGCGUGAUCGAUGAAGGCCUUAGGGUUGUAAAGAUCUUUCAGUGGGGAAGAUAAUGACUGUACCCACAGAAGAAGCCCCGGCUAACUCCGUGCCAGCCGCCGCCUAAUAC
rnacentral:rRNA from 1 species